AGAUAGCAUUGAGGUCUCGACGUGAAAAGCUGGUGGCAGAAACAACUAUAUAUAUUGUCAGCACAUUAGGUCAUCAUGUUGGGCAUUUCUCUCACACAUGGUUCCUGAAAUGCAACGGUUAAAUCCUUUUGUUUGUUCUUCAGGUUUCUGGAAAAGUAGAGCUUGAGAAAGUGCUCAAUGGGCUAUUCAGUGAUGCUAAAGUUCUGGAAUCACGUCGCAUGGUUGCAAAACAAGCAAACCAUUCUCUUUCCAGGGGCAUCGUUGCCAAUGUCUAGAACCUACUGAAUUUGCAUGUUUUCAAACGGGCUCUCUGU